rnacentral:rRNA from 1 species
GUUGAACGCUGGCGGCAGGCCUAACACAUGCAAGUCGAGCGGUAGCACAGAGAGCUUGCUCUCGGGUGACGAGCGGCGGACGGGUGAGUAAUGUCUGGGAAACUGCCUGAUGGAGGGGGAUAACUACUGGAAACGGUAGCUAAUACUGCAUAACGUCGCAAGACCAAAGUGGGGGACCUUCGGGCCUCAUGCCAUCAGAUGUGCCCAGAUGGGAUUAGCUAGUAGGUGGGGUAACGGCUCACCUAGGCGACGAUCCCUAGCUGGUCUGAGAGGAUGACCAGCCACACUGGAACUGAGACACGGUCCAGACGCCUACGGGAGGCAGAGGUGGGGAAUAUUGAACAAUGGGCGCAAGCCUGAUGCAGCCAUGCCGCGUGUAUGAAGAAGGCCUUCGGGUUGUAAAGUACUUUCAGCGGGGAGGAAGGCGACAAGGUUAAUAACCUUGUCGAUUGACGUUACCCGCAGAAGAAGCACCGGCUAACUCCGUGCCAGCAGCCGCUGUAA